GACGAAGAGUAGUCAUUUGUAUAUGUGGUACACCUAUACAGAGUUACACUUUUCGAAUAUAGAUGCUUCUUCUCGUUGGAGUUGCUAUAUCUGUGAGCAAUUACCUCUAUACUGUAAGCAACAUCU
rnacentral:snoRNA from 1 species